rnacentral:rRNA from 1 species
UCCCAGACUCCUACGGGAGGCAGCAGUGGGGGAUAUUGCACAAUGGGGGGAACCCUGAUGCAGCGACGCCGCGUGGGUGAAGGAGCGUUUCGGCGCGUAAAGCCAUAUCGGCAGGGAAGAAGGAGGACGGUACCUGACUAAGAAGCCCCGGCUAACUACGUGCCAGCAGCCGCGGUAAUACGUAGGGGGCAAGCGUUAUCCGGAUUUACUGGGUGUAAAGGGAGCGUAGACGGUAUGGCAAGUCUGAUGUGAAAUCCCGGGGCGCAACGCCGGGACUGCAUUGGAAACUGUCGGACUAGAGGGUAGGAGAGGCAAGUGGAAUUCCUGGUGUAGCGGUGAAAUGCGUAGAUAUUAGGCGGAACACCAGUGGCGAAGGCGGCUUAC